rnacentral:rRNA from 1 species
UUGAACGCUGGCGGCAGGCUUCACACAUGCAAGUCGAGCGGGGAAAGGUAGCUUGCUACCUGACCUAGCGGCGGACGGGUGAGUAAUGCUUAGGAAUCUGCCUAUUAGUGGGGGACAACAUCUCGAAAGGGAUGCUAAUACCGCAUACGUCCUACGGGAGAAAGCAGGGGACCUUCGGGCCUUGCGCUAAUAGAUGAGCCUAAGUCGGAUUAGCUAGUUGGUGGGGUAAAGGCCUACCAAGGCGACGAUCUGUAGCGGGUCUGAGAGGAUGAUCCGCCACACUGGGACUGAGACACGGCCCAGACUCCUACGGGAGGCAGCAGUGGGGAAUAUUGGACAAUGGGGGGAACCCUGAUCCAGCCAUGCCGCGUGUGUGAAGAAGGCCUUUUGGUUGUAAAGCACUUUAAGCGAGGAGGAGGCUACCGAGAUUAAUACUCUUGGAUAGUGGACGUUACUCGCAGAAUAAGCACCGGCUAACUCUGUG